rnacentral:rRNA from 1 species
UACGGAGGGGGCGAGCGUUAUUCGGAAUUAUUGGGCGUAAAGGGCGCGUAGGCGGCUGAACAAGUCAAAGGUGAAAUCCCUCGGCUCAACUGAGGAACUGCCUUUGAAACUGUUCGGCUUGAGGCCGGGAGGGGGUAGCGGAAUUCCCAGUGUAGCGGUGAAAUGCGUAGAUAUUGGGAGGAAGACCAGUGGCGAAGGCGGCUACCUGGACCGGUUCUGACGCUGAGGCGCGAAAGCGUGGGUAGCAAACAGG